AGCUCCAUAAGUGUAUAUUCACGUUGCUACAGUUAAAAAGCUCGUAGUUGAAUUUCUGACUUCACUUGACUAGUCCGAUAGGAUUUCUUGUCGUGUGCUUUUCAAGUUUGUCAUCUCUUCUGGAAAUUGAAAUUGCGCUUCACUGUGUUGAUUUCAUGAUCCAGAUCUUUUACUUUGAAAAAAUUAGAGUGUUUAAAGCAGGCUUUUGCUAUGAAUACAUUAGCAUGGAAUAAUAAUUUAGGACUUUGGUUCUAUUUUGUUGGUUUCUAGAACUGAAGUAAUGAUUGAUAGGGAUAGUUGGGGAUGCUGAUAUUCAUCGGCCAGAGGUGAAAUUCUUGGAUUCGAUGAAGAUCAACUUAUGCGAAAGCAUUCAUCAAGGAUAUUUUCU
rnacentral:rRNA from 1 species